UGGAAAUGGCGCAGUGGGUAGCUAGUCAGGUAUCAGCAGGGCAGGAGAGGGCACGCACGCGCGCACACACGCACGCACGCGCACACCACGAGUGUUGGGUGACCAUCAGGUGAUGGUCAGGCAGUUGUUAACUGUCUCGCUAAAGUAAUAAUUGGCCACAGCCAGUGCCAGAGAAAGUCAGUCUACUAAUACAUGUAGAUAGGAAACACCUGAAACUGAUCAGCAGCUUCCCAGUAAGAUCUCAGGAGUGGAGAGAAGGAACGCAAGAUCCCGGAAAAUAAAGCCCAAAAAUAUUAGCAUAACAUUCAGGGGACUUCGUGAUCAAGAUCCACUUUAUCUCCCCUGUGUUAUCUCUGACUGCCACCCUGUGAAACCUUGAUUCAACUACACCAAACCACUGACAAUUCUUGAGAACAUGAAGUUAUUAAAAAGUAAAAUCUAUAUUUGGGGGCAAUAUAACUGUAGAAAAUCCAGAAAAAGUCAUUUGAAAAACAAAGUUAAUAAGCCUUUAGAGCAAUUGUUAAAAUGUUUGCAUCUAUUAAAAUGUGUGUAAAGAUACCAAAUUAUGUGAGACAUGCUUAUAAUGUUAGCUGAUAAAAACAGAAUUUUAAAUUAUAUCUACCAUAUGGUCUAAUCAAAGUUUUAAAAAACCUAAAUAUGAAAUAAAUGUUACAGAAAUAUACUAAAAUGUUAACAUUAAU
rnacentral:lncRNA from 1 species